UGAAAAACAGAGGACUUACAACAUCACC
rnacentral:sRNA from 1 species